rnacentral:rRNA from 1 species
GAUGAACGCUGGCGGCGUGCCUAUUACAUGCAAGUCGAGCGAACAGACGAGGAGCUUGCUCCUCUGACGUUAGCGGUGGACGGGUGAGUAACACGUGGAUAACCUACCUAUAAGACUGGGAUAACUUCGGGAAGCCGGAGCUAAUACCGGAUAACAUGUUGAACCGCAUGGUUCAACAGUGAAAGACGGUCUUGCUGUCACUUAUAGAUGGAUCCGCGACGCAUUAGCUAGUUGGUAAGGUAACGGCUUACCAAGGCAACGAUGCGUAGCCGAGCUGAGAGGGUUAUCGGCCAAACUGGAACUGAGACACGGUCCAGACUCCUACGGGAGGCAGCAGUAGGGAAUCUUCCGCAAUGGGCGAAAGCCUGACGGAGCAACGCCGCGUGAGUGAAGAAGGUCUUCGGAUCGUAAAACUCUGUUAUUAGGGAAGAACAAAUGUGUAAGUAACUAUGCACGUCUUGACGGUACCUAAUCAGAAAGCCACGGCUAACUACGUGCCAGCCGCCGCGGUAA